AUUGAACGCUGGCGGCAUGCUUUACACAUGCAAGUCGAACGGUAACAGGCCGCAAGGUGCUGACGAGUGGCGAACGGGUGAGUAAUGCAUCGGAACGUGCCCAGUCGUGGGGGAUAACGCAGCGAAAGCUGUGCUAAUACCGCAUACGAGCUAUGGAUGAAAGCGGGGGACCGUAAGGCCUCGCGCGAUUGGAGGGGCCGAUGUCAGAUUAGGUAGUUGGUGGGGUAAAGGCCUACCAAGCCGACGAUCUGUAGCUGGUCUGAGAGGACGACCAGCCACACUGGGACUGAGACACGGCCCAGACUCCUACGGGAGGCAGCAGUGGGGAAUUUUGGACAAUGGGCGCAAGCCUGAUCCAGCAAUGCCGCGUGCAGGAAGAGGGCCUUCGGGUUGUAAACUGCUUUUGUACGGAACGAAACGGCCUGGGUUAAUACCCUGGGCUAAUGACGGUACCGUAAGAAUAAGCACCGGCUAACUACGUGCCAGCAGCCGCGGUAAGAC
rnacentral:rRNA from 1 species